UGCUAGUGAGAAAUUGUAAGGCCCCCUUUUGGGGACCCCCACUCUAGUCUCGGGAGAGAGGGCGCACCCAAAGAAACACAAGAAUCC
rnacentral:pre_miRNA from 7 species